rnacentral:rRNA from 1 species
AUUGAACGCUGGCGGCAGGCCUAACACAUGCAAGUCGAACGAGUGGCGGACGGGUGAGUAAUGUCUGGGAAACUGCCUGAUGGAGGGGGAUAACUACUGGAAACGGUAGCUAAUACCGCAUACCAUCGGAUGUGCCCAGAUGGGAGUAGCUAGUAGGUGGGGUAAAGGCUCUCCUAGGCGACGAUCCCUAGCUGGUCUGCGAGGAUGACCAGCAACACUGUGACUGCGACACGUUACAGGCUCCUACGGGAGUCAGCAGGGGGGAAUAGUGCACAAUGGGCGCAAGCCUGAUGCAGCCAUUGCGGGUGUAUUAAGAAGGCCUUCGGGUUGUAAAGUACUUUCAGCGGGGAGGCGUUACCCGCAUAAGAAGCACCGGCUAACUCCGUGCCAGCCGUCGCGGUAAUUC